AUUUUAACUGAUAGAAGCAGAAAAAAAUUGUUCAUCUGGGAGAUCAUUGAAGCUAUAGGUGUAUGAAUAAGUUAAAGAAAAAAAUGGAUUUAAAAAAAAUGAUGGCAAAGCAUGCAAAGAGAAGCUGAGUGUUCCUGAGAGAGAGAUGAUCAGGGCUGGGGAUACAGCUCAAUGGCACAAGCACCUGCCUGGAAUGAAGAACUGAUGCACACUACCACAGGGAAAAACUCUGAAAACAUUGCUAAGUGAAAGAAGCCAAUCACAAAUGACCGCACGUUGCAUGAUUCUGUUUAUGUGCAAUAUCCAGGAAAGCCAAAUCUACAGAGACCAAAAGUAGAUGAAUGGUUGCCCUGAUGAUCUAUUGACUACUUCUUUUAUUGUUUACUUCAUCAUCUUCAGAGGCCUACAACAGUCCUGGCACAUAGACAUAUUUGAUGAUUAUUUGUUAGAUGGAAGUGUGAAACAUCCACAAAAACCGACAACUUGGAAACCACUCCAAUUCUAAAAACUCAUCAGCUUACGAAAGCUAAUCAAAAAAUCUCUUCAAAAAGUGUCCACAACUACUCAACGGGUCAAGUUUCCUCAACAAAAUAAACCAAGUGUCUAUACUUUGCUUCAACCCUUUCUAUGUAAACUAUAGGUAAUAAU